UACGGAGGGUGCAAGCGUUAAUCGGAAUUACUGGGCGUAAAGGGUGCGUAGGUGGUUAGAUAAGUUAUCUGUGAAAGCCCUGGGCUCAACCUGGGAAGGCCAGAUAAGACUGUUUGACUCGAGUAUAGGAGAGGGUAGUGGAAUUUCCGGUGUAGCGGUGAAAUGCGUAGAGAUCGGAAGGAACACCAGUGGCGAAGGCGGCUACCUGGCCUGAUACUGACACUGAGGCACGAAAGCGUGGGGAGCAAACGGG
rnacentral:rRNA from 1 species